GCCGCCGCCACCUUCGCCGCUUUGACAAUAUUUACUUAUUUUCCCCCACCUCACUCACACCCAUGCUCCCCCGCCCUAGUUCCCUUAAAGAGUUCCAGGAGAAAAUGUUCUCCCCUCAAGAAAGGAAAGAGAAAGUCCAACCGCUAUACGGCAAUACUUUUAAGCUCGACUAAAUGAUCGUAUCCUUUUCUGGCUUCGAAACUUUUGUACCUAAAAAUCGAGAGUGGCGCUGCAUUUUUUCAGCUGAAACUGUCAAAACUUGGAGAAGGGGAACCUCGGAGGCAGGCAGGAGAGGAGGAGAAUCCUGCAACUCGGUGGAGGUUGGGAAGAUGCUGUGCCUCGAGGAUUAGUUUAAACAGGGGGCUAUAAAAGAUGUAACAGAUGCAAACUGUAACACAAGGGCCAUUAACCCUUUCUCUGCCGAACACACUCAGUCCCCACGCCCCGCACCUAUUGUCUCCUGUGCUAGAAGCUUUGCGGAAAACCUGGAAAACACUCCUCCUCACUUCAGACUCACAUCCCCACUUAAAAGGAGAAAAUCGUAAAAGGAGGGUGGGGGAUGACCAUGCCGAAAAGGAAUAAAAAGAGAGAAAAGGGGAAAAAAAAAAAACCUACCUGCGAAGUCUUGUUUGUAGUUUUGGCCAGAAAUGGUGAGAAGAAAAAGCAUGAAGAAGCCGCGAAGUGUGGGGGAGAAAAAGGUGGAAGCGAAGAAACAGCUCCCGGAGCAAACUGUACAAAACCUCGCCAAGAGUGUCGGGAGGCAGGACCGUUAUUCCUGCGGAGCAGGAGAGAGAGAGACCCUGAAACACGCGCCACCUAUCUUUGUGGGGAGGGAUAAUUGAAGCGCCCUGAGCGUGAGCAUCAUGUGAAAACGUGAUCGCCAAGUUUCUCUCUGGGAAAGGAUCUGGGAUAGAUUAUACCUUGAAGUCUCCGCAAACGCUUUAGUGGAAGAAAUGAAAUUCCACCUCCCUCCCUUCCUCUCUCCCUCCCUCUCGCCUCCCUCCCUCCCUUCUCCACGCCCCCCCCCACCCCCCCGUCAAGCCUUUGGCAUCAUUAUCCUCAUCACUAAAUCCUACAGAGUACAGGGCGGAAAACGGUGCACACCAUUCACAGAACUGGAGAACUCUAAGGGGCGAAAGUUAAAGGGAAAGAUCCCGGUUCCUCAAUCCAGAUCGCCUCUUCUUAUACAGAUGUCUCUAAUGACCAGAUUUGAGAUGCACAUUAAAUUGUGUGGAUUUCUCAGCACGGCUUCUGGAACUAAAUUUUUUGCCCUUUCUCUUAAUUUUUUUUUUUCUUUUAAGAUGCCAGAGCCAGAAAAAAAAAAAAAAAAAGCUUCAUGUGAACUGCAUUUUAGGGCGUGUGUGUUGCGGUGUGUGUGUGUGAUGAAUUUCUGGAUUGGAUCCCAAUACUAAAAAGUGGUUUGGCAUUUUUUAAAAGGGUCUCUUAAGUAAAUUAACAUAGAGCGCUGAGUUGCUGAGUUGACCGAUCUCUGAAUCUCUCCACAUCUCACGGAGACCUCACUACAAAGUGAGGGAGUGGGUGUAGGGAGGCAGGAGGAAAAGGAGAAAGGCCAUAGAGGAACUUAGCAGCGAAGGAAGAUCACCAUAUUAAACGGCAUGGGGUCUAAGUUUUGGAGUAUAUAUUUUUUGAUAUUGCAAUUAAAGUAAAAUUAAAAAGAAAAGACUCCACCUUUGCUCUGAAGGGAUUGGUUAUGUAAAUAUGGAAGGGAUUUCCUGGAGAAUACAGCUUUCUACUGUAUGGUUAAUUAAAUAAUCACUCAAAAGCUUCCAACGUGACGCUUCUGUCGUAAUCCAAUCAGGUUACAUAGGUCCUAAACAAGAAAGAUAUUUUCCACAUCUGGAAGUCAGCAAUUUAGCAAGUACUGCACAUUAUUAACCAAUUCAGAGCCCACUUCCCAGGGGAAUUUUUUUUGAAGUUUAAGUGUUCUUAACCAAUGCUCUGCUGUUUUGUUAAUCAAAAAGCUGGUUUACACUGCACAUAAUUGGAACUAAUAUAGAAGUAAAUAAAGACAGCCAAAUUUGAGGAUGCUGAGCACAGGCAUUUAUCGGAAAAGGAAGAAAUCUCUUAGCCUCCAAUGGUUCAGGCUCAAUUUCUUAGAGAAUUGUGAGGCUUUUUCUUCUUCUUCUUCUUCUUCUUUUUUUUUCUUUAAGAGUGAAAGUACUUGAGAACCUCAGAGCACAAAUAAACUUUCAGUCCCACAGCCUUUGGGCUUCCUUGCAAAGGUAAAGGUGGAGGUGUCAAGAGGACUAAAGAACAGCCGCAUGCCAUUUUUUUCUGCUUUAAUAUUGUUAAUAUGUUACAGCCCCCUGUUUUCAGUCUGAUGAAAUCUGAAACAAAUAAAACCCUGAUCCAACACUAGACUUUUACUUAUAUGAAGAUAAACUGCUUUGAACUGUGCUUUGAAUGUGUGCCU